rnacentral:rRNA from 1 species
AUUGAACGCUGGCGGCAGGCCUAACACAUGCAAGUCGAGCGGAGCGGCGGACGGGUGAGUAAUGCCUAGGAAUCUGCCUGGUAGUGGGGGAUAACGUCCGGAAACGGGCGCUAAUACCGCAUACUCUAAGAUGAGCCUAGGUCGGAUUAGCUAGUUGGUGGGGUAAAGGACUACCAAGGCGACGAUCCGUAACUGGUCUGAGAGGAGGAUCAGUCACAGUGUAACUGAGCCACGGUCCAGACGCCUACGGGAGGAAGCAGUGGGGAAGAUUUGACAAUGGGCUAAAGCCUGAUCCAGCCAUGCCGCGUGUGUGAAGAAGGGCGUCGGAUUGUAAAGCACUUUAAGUUGGGAGGCGUUACCAACAGAAUAAGCACCGGCUAACUUCGUGCCAGCAGCCGCGGUAAUAC